UACGUAGGGUGCAAACGUUGCUCGGAAUUAUUGGGCGUAAAGCGCGUGUAGGCGGCUUGUUAAGUCGGUUGUGAAAACCCAUGGCUCAACCAUGGAAGGGCGUCCGAAACUGGCAAGCUAGAGUCCCGACGAGGAUGGCGGAAUUCCCAGUGUAGAGGUGAAAUUCGUAGAUAUUGGGAGGAACACCGGUGGCGAAGGCGGCCAUCUGGGAGGGCACUGACGCUGAGACGCGAAAGCGUGGGGAGCAAACAGG
rnacentral:rRNA from 1 species